rnacentral:rRNA from 1 species
UGCCAGCAGCCGCGGUAAUACGAAGGGACCUAGCGUAGUUCGGAAUUACUGGGCGUAAAGCGCACGUAGGCGGAUUGGAAAGUAGGGGGUGAAAUCCCAGGGCUCAACCCUGGAACUGCCUCCUAAACUAUCAGUCUAGAGUUCGAGAGAGGUGAGUGGAAUUCCAAGUGUAGAGGUGAAAUUCGUAGAUAUUUGGAGGAACACCAGUGGCGAAGGCGGCUCACUGGCUCGAUACUGACGCUGAGAUGCGAAGGCAUGGGUAGCAAACGGGAUUAGAUA